UACGUAGGGGGCUAGCGUUGUUCGGAAUUACUGGGCGUAAAGCGCACGCAGGCGGAUUGAUAAGUCAGGGGUGAAAUCCCGGGGCUCAACCUCGGAAUUGCCUUUGAUACUGCCAGUCUUGAGUCCGGGAGAGGUGAGUGGAAUUCCUAGUGUAGAGGUGAAAUUCGUAGAUAUUAGGAAGAACACCAGUGGCGAAGGCGGCUCACUGGCCCGGUACUGACGCUCAGGUGCGAAAGCGUGGGAAGCAAACAGG
rnacentral:rRNA from 1 species